rnacentral:rRNA from 1 species
AACGAACGCUGGCGGCAUGCCUAACACAUGCAAGUCGGACGAGACCUUCGGGUCUAGUGGCGCACGGGUGCGUAACGCGUGGGAACCUGCCUUUAGGUUCGGAAUAACUCAGAGAAAUUUGAGCUAAUACCGGAUGAUGUCUUCGGACCAAAGAUUUAUCGCCUUUAGAUGGGCCCGCGUUGGAUUAGCUAGUUGGUGGGGUAAAGGCCUACCAAGGCGACGAUCCAUAGCUGGUCUGAGAGGAUGAUCAGCCACACUGGGACUGAGACACGGCCCAGACUCCUACGGGAGGCAGCAGUGGGGAAUAUUGGACAAUGGGCGAAAGCCUGAUCCAGCAAUGCCGCGUGAGUGAUGAAGGCCUUAGGGUUGUAAAGCUCUUUUACCCGAGAUGAUAAUGACAGUAUCGGGAGAAUAAGCUCCGGCUAACUCCGUG